AACGACUCUCGGCAACGGAUAUCUCGGCUCUCGCAUCGAUGAAGAACGUAGCGAAAUGCGAUACUUGGUGUGAAUUGCAGAAUCCCGUGAACCAUCGAGUCUUUGAACGCAAGUUGCGCCCGAAGCCUUCUGGCCGAGGGCACGUCUGCCUGGGCGUCACAC
rnacentral:rRNA from 1 species